UUCUACCUGUUGUGGCUGAGGUUGUUAUUAGAGGUUAUAAGAGGUUCUACCUGUUGUGGCUGAGGUUGUUGUUAGAGGUUAUAAGGCCUGUUAGUCACCUGUUAUAACAUAUUAUAAGGGGUUCUACCUGUUGUGGCUGAGGUUGUUAUUAGAGGUUAUAAGGCCUGUUAGUCACCUGUUAUAACAUAUUAUAAGGGGUUCUACCUGUUGU